GUAGGUAUAGUUUAAAUAAAAUAUUAGAUUGUGAUUCUAAAAAUGGAGGUUAAAAACCCCCUACCCACC
rnacentral:tRNA from 1 species